rnacentral:rRNA from 1 species
AUUGAACGCUGGCGGCAGGCCUAACACAUGCAAGUCGAGCGGCAGCGGGAAAGUAGCUUGCUACUUUUGCCGGCGAGCGGCGGACGGGUGAGUAAUGCCUGGGAAAUUGCCCAGUCGAGGGGGAUAACAGUUAGAAACGACUGCUAAUACCGCGUACGCCCUACGGGGGAAAGCAGGGGACCUUCGGGCCUUGCGCGAUUGGAUAUGCCCAGGUGGGAUUAGCUAGUUGGUGAGGUAAUGGCUCACCAAGGCGACGAUCCCUAGCUGGUCUGGGAGGAUGAUCAGCCACACUGGAACUGAGACACGGUCCAGACUCCUACGGGAGGCAGCAGUGGGGAAUAUUGCACAAUGGGGGAAACCCUGAUGCAGCCAUGCCGCGUGUGUGAAGAAGGCCUUCGGGUUGUAAAGCACUUUCAGCGAGGAGGAAAGGUCAGUAGCUAAUAUCUGCUGGCUGUGACGUUACUCGCAGAAGAAGCACCGGCUAACUCCGUGCCAGCCGCCGCCGUAAGAC